UCCCUCUUAAACCGUAACGAAUGGUAGAGCAUGCGGCUGUUAACCGCAGUGUCGACAGUUCGAGUCUGCCAGGGGCAGCCA
rnacentral:tRNA from 1 species